CAGUCGCCGCGGGAAAACGAAGGGUGCAAGCGUUACUCGGAAUUACUGGGCGUAAAGCGUGCGUAGGUGGUGGUGUAAGUCCGUUGUGAAAGCCCUGGGCUCAACCUGGGAAUUGCAGUGGAUACUGGGUCACUAGAGUGUGGUAGAGGAUAGUGGAAUUUCCGGUGUAGCAGUGAAAUGCGUAGAGAUCGGAAGGAACAUCUGUGGCGAAGGCGACUAUCUGGGCCAACACUGACACUGAGGCACGAAAGCGUGGGGAGCAAACAGGAUUAGAUACCCGCGUAGUCCCUGUCUCUUAUAC
rnacentral:rRNA from 1 species